GGUUGAUCCUGCCGGACCCGACUGCUAUCAGAGUGGGACUAAGCCAUGCGAGUCAACAUAGCAAUAUGUGGCAUACGGCUCAGUAACACGUAGUCAACAUGCCCAGGGGACGUGGAUAACCUCGGGAAACUGAGGAUAAACCGCGAUAAGUCACUACUUCUGGAAUGGGUAAUGACUCAAAUCUAUAUGGCCCCUGGAUUGGACUGCGGCCGAUCAGGCUGUUGGUGAGGUAAUGGCCCACCAAACCUGUAACCGGUACGGGCUCUGAGAGGAGGAGCCCGGAGAUGGGCACUGAGACAAGGGCCCAGGCCCUAUGGGGCGCAGCAGGCGCGAAACCUCUGCAAUAGGCGAAAGCUUGACAGGGUUACUCUGAGUGAUUUCCGUUAAGGAAAUCUUUUGGCACCUCUAAAAAUGGUGCAGAAUAAGGGGUGGGCAAGUCUGGUGUCAGCCGCCGCGGUAAUACCAGCACCCCGAGUGGUCGGGACGUUUAUUGGGCCUAAAGCAUCCGUAGCCGGUUCUACAAGUCUUCCGUUAAAUCCAACUGCUUAACAGGUGGGCUGCGGAAGAUACUAUAGAGCUAGGAGGCGGGAGAGGCAAGCGGUACUCGAUGGGUAGGGGUAAAAUCCGUUGAUCCAUUGAAGACACCAG
rnacentral:rRNA from 1 species